AUAAGCGCCGGUAAGGUGAUAUGAACCGUUAUAACCGGCGAUACCCGAAUGGGGAAACCCAGUGUGAUUCGUCACACUAUCAUUAACUGAAUCCAUAGGUUAAUGAGGCGAACCGGGGGAACUGAAACAUCUAAGUACCCCGAGGAAAAGAAAUCAACCGAGAUUCCCCCAGUAGCGGCGAGCGAACGGGGAGGAGCCCAGAGCCUGAAUCAGCAUGUGUGUUAGUGGAAGCGUCUGGAAAGGCGCGCGAUACAGGGUGACAGCCCCGUACACAAAAGCGCAUGUGCUGUGAGCUCGAUGAGUAGGGCGGGACACGUGGUAUCCUGUCUGAAUAUGGGGGGACCAUCCUCCAAGGCUAAAUACUCCUGACUGACCGAUAGUGAACCAGUACCGUGAGGGAAAGGCGAAAAGAACCCCGGCGAGGGGAGUGAAAAAGAACCUGAAACCGUGUACGUACAAGCAGUGGGAGCACCCUUUGGGUGUGACUGCGUACCUUUUGUAUAAUGGGUCAGCGACUUAUAUUCUGUAGCAAGGUUAACCGAAUAGGGGAGCCGGAGGGAAACCGAGUCUUAACCGGGCGUUAAGUUGCAGGGUAUAGACCCGAAACCCGGUGAUCUAGCCAUGGGCAGGUUGAAGGUUGGGUAACACUAACUGGAGGACCGAACCGACUAAUGUUGAAAAAUUAGCGGAUGACCUGUGGCUGGGGGUGAAAGGCCAAUCAAACCGGGAGAUAGCUGGUUCUCCCCGAAAGCUAUUUAGGUAGCGCCUCGUGAAUUCAUCUCCGGGGGUAGAGCACUGUUUCGGCUAGGGGGCCAUCCCGGCUUACCAACCCGAUGCAAACUGCGAAUACCGGAGAAUGUUAUCACGGGAGACACACGGCGGGUGCUAACGUCCGUCGUGAAGAGGGAAACAACCCAGACCGCCAGCUAAGGUCCCAAAGUCAUGGUUAAGUGGGAAACGAUGUGGGAAGGCCCAGACAGCCAGGAUGUUGGCUUAGAAGCAGCCAUCAUUUAAAGAAAGCGUAAUAGCUCACUGGUCGAGUCGGCCUGCGCGGAAGAUGUAACGGGGCUAAACCAUGCACCGAAGCUGCGGCAGCGACACUGUGUGUUGUUGGGUAGGGGAGCGUUCUGUAAGCCUGUGAAGGUGUGUCGUGAGGC
rnacentral:rRNA from 1 species